rnacentral:tRNA from 1 species
GGAGCCGUAGACGAAUUGGCAAAGUCACCGGGCUUUCAACUCGGAUAUAUGCGGGUUCAAAUCCCGUCGGCUCUA